AAAAUAAAAAAACAACAACAUUCUGUUAAUUAAACUUUGGGACAUUGAAAUGGGACAGGGGAAAUGACUGGAUAGAAAGCAUUAUUCUAUUCAUUUAUCUCCUAACCCUACAAAA